UCGCCCCAGGAGGGGACACCGGUGGGGGUAACCCGGACCCCCAGCCAUCUUCCUUGCCCCCUGCCCUGGCCUCAACCCCACCGUCCCACUAGGGGCCUCUCCAGCCAAGGCCCAGGUGGACGACGCCAUGCUGAUGUUUGACAAAACCACCAACCGGCACCGAGGGUUCGGGUUUGUCACGUUUGAGAGUGAGGACAUCGUGGAGAAAGUGUGUGAAAUUCAUUUUCAUGAAAUCAACAACAAAAUGGUGGAAUGUAAGAAAGCUCAGCCAAAGGAGGUGAUGUCGCCAACGGGCUCAGCCCGGGGGAGGUCUCGAGUCAUGCCCUACGGAAUGGACGCCUUCAUGCUGGGCAUCGGCAUGCUGGGUUACCCAGGUUUCCAAGCCACAACCUACGCCAGCCGGAGUUAUACAGGCCUCGCCC
rnacentral:sRNA from 1 species